ACUCAAAUGAAUUGACGGGGGCUCACACAAGCGGUGGAGCAUGUGGCUCAAUUCGAAGCAACGCGAAGAACCUUAUCCUGGGUUUGACAUGUAUGGAUUAGGCGGCGGAAACGUCGCUGAGGCCUUCGGGUACAACAUACACAGGUGCUGCAUGGCUGUCGUCAGCUCGUGCUGUGAAGUGUCGGGUUAAGUCCCUUAACGAGCGAAACCCCUAUCGUUAGUUGCCAACGGGUCAUGCCGGGAACUCUAACGAGACUGCCGGUGUCAAACCGGAGGAAGGUGGGGAUGACGUCAAGUCCUCAUGGCCUUUAUGCCCAGGGCUGCACACGUGCUACAAUGGCGUGUAACAAAGCGACGCGAGACCGCAAGGUGGAGCAAAUCGCAGAAAACACGCCCCAGUUCAGAUUGAGGUCUGCAACCCGACCUCAUGAAGCCGGAAUCGCUAGUAAUCGGGGAUCAGCUACGCCCCGGUGAAUAUGUUCCUGAGCCUUGUACACACCGCCCGU
rnacentral:rRNA from 1 species